CCCUCAAUUUCAAUCCAAUAGACCACCUGGAUUCUCUUAAAAAUAAUUUAACGAUAGAUAAAAUUAACUUUGUAUUUUGCAUUUCAACCACAUUGCCAUGAGACCACUCCCUCCAGAUGGGAAGCUCAUGUAAGAUACUGAAAAUUUAAUGCUGAAGAAAGACUGGAAAAAUAUGCAAAAUGUAUAUAUGAAAGUAAAAAGGAAACGAGAGAGCAAAGAGGGGGCAUGAAAAAAUACUGCGACAAAAACCAAAGAAAAUCUUAUGUAUGUUCCAGGAACAUAAAGAUCGGGAGUACAACUAAGGAGAGCGUAGAGCCUAUUAGCAAUAAUAAAGGAGUCGUGCUGGAGGAUUGGAGGACUGCUGUUUAAAAAGAGAAGAAGAGGAUCUGGGCAUUGCAAGUAUUGCCCAUGCAAAUCUACCCUCAAAAAGGUGGUGGUGAGCCACUUCUUGAACUGCUGAAGCCCUUCUAGUGAAGGCACACACUCAUAAUACUGUAGGAUCGGGAGUGAUCCAAUGAUGACGAAGGAAUGGCAACAUAUUUCCAAAUGAAAAUGAAGUCUUAGUCUCCAGCACUGGUGUGGGGCUAAGCUGGCAGCAAUGUUUUUGUCCCCCACCGUGUGGGCUGGCAGCCGCCCCUGGAUGCAACAGUGAACGCCUCAUGGAAUCAACAAGUUAGUGUGAACUUCCACAAGCUUCUGAGCUAUAAGGAAGAAGUAAGAUUAAGAUAAUGGACUCAGAGAAGGACUGUUGCGUGAAAAAGACUUGACCCUGGAAAAGGUCAGCAGAAACCAUACGAGUACAAGCUAAGGAGCUGCACAGGGCAGACACACCAGUGCAUGCUGUGAAAACAGAGAAGCAGCACACAAGGCAUCUCCGAAAGCAUCAGCAAAACAAAGAGGAAGGCUCAAACAGCAAAUGCAGCAGAUGUUGAGUGCAUUUGCAAUGACCUUGGACCUUGUGGACAGCUUCAUGGUGUGGUUUAUGAAAGUCUAAAGCCAAGUAAUCAGCAACAUGCAACUCCCUGUGUUUUUCAUGCUGCAACUUGAAGAAUUUCAUUUUACAUACAAAAGAUGAAAGUCGC